rnacentral:rRNA from 1 species
UACAGAGGGUGCAAGCGUUGUUCGGAAUUAUUGGGUGUAAAGCGCGUGUAGGCGGCUUGGCAAGUCGGGUGUGAAAGCCCUCAGCUCAACUGAGGAAGUGCGCCCGAAACUGCUUUGCUUGAGUGCUGGAGAGGGUCGCGGAAUUCCCCAAGUAGAGGUGAAAUUCGUAGAUAUGGGGAGGAACACCGGUGGCGAAGGCGGCGACCUGGACCGGUAUUGACGCUGAGGCGCGAAAGCCAGGGGAGCAAACGGG